ACGGAGGGUGCAAGCGUUAAUCGGAAUUACUGGGCGUAAAGCGCACGCAGGCGGUUUGUUAAGUCAGAUGUGAAAUCCCCGGGCUCAACCUGGGAACUGCAUCUGAUACUGGCAAGCUUGAGUCUCGUAGAGGGGGGUAGAAUUCCAGGUGUAGCGGUGAAAUGCGUAGAGAUCUGGAGGAAUACCGGUGGCGAAGGCGGCCCCCUAGACGAAGACUGACGCUCAGGUGCGAAAGCGUGGGGAGCAAACAG
rnacentral:rRNA from 1 species